UGAUUCUGGAAGUGGGCGGCGAAAGGUGGCAAGAUGUUGGCAUAGCUGCUGAGACGGUCUGCUAUGCCAUCCGAUUGCCACCUUUCUCUG
rnacentral:pre_miRNA from 10 species